rnacentral:rRNA from 1 species
UUAAAGUUGUUGCAGUUAAAAAGCUCGUAGUUGAACCUUGGGCCUGGUUGGCCGGUCCGCCUCACCGCGUGCACUGGUCCGGCCGGGCCUUUCCUUCUGGGGAACCGCAUGCCCUUCACUGGGCGUGCCGGGGAACCAGGACUUUUACUUUGAAAAAAUUGGAGUGUUCAAAGCAGGCCUUUGCUCGAAUACAUUAGCAUGGAAUAAUA